rnacentral:SRP_RNA from 2 species
GCCAGGUAUGGUGGCGUGCACCUGUAAUCCCAGCUACACAGGAGGCCAAGGCAGGAGGAUUGCUUGAGCCUAGGGGUUCAAAGUUGCAGUGAGCUAUGAUCGUGCCACUGCACUCCAGCCUAGGCAACAUGGUGAGACCCUGUCUAUA